UACAGAGGUCUCAAGCGUUGUUCGGAUUCAUUGGGCGUAAAGGGCGCGUAGGCGGCGGGGUAAGUCAGGUGUGAAAUCUCAGAGCUCAACUCUGAAACUGCACUCGAUACUGCUCUGCUUGAGGACUGGAGAGGAGACUGGAAUUCACGGUGUAGCAGUGAAAUGCGUAGAUAUCGUGAGGAAGACCAGUGGCGAAGGCGGGUCUCUGGACAGUUCCUGACGCUGAGGCGCGAAGGCCAGGGGAGCAAACGGG
rnacentral:rRNA from 1 species